UUCUAUUCCUUUCCUUCUUUCCUUUUCUUUUUUCCUUUCUCUAUGUAUACAUGUAUCUCUCCGCCCUCCCUUUCUAUCAUAGUCUCUCCUAUAUGUUAGGAAGGUUUGAGUCUCUUCAUUAUCUUCUCUUUGAUGUUCUCCUCUUAAUUAAAUGAAUGAGACCUGACAUCCUCCAGAAAGGAACAGUAUUGGUCCUCUAGUAUCUCUUGUAUUGAAGAACCAGGAGACCACAUGUCACAGCCAACUCAGUUCUCCCUCGUCCCUCAAGAUCCCCUCGUCACCAUACAAGUAAGGAUGAGGAGUGGGUGGAGUGAGGGGAGGUGUGGUCAGAAAGGAAGUUGUGAUGAUGAAAGCUAUGCUACCUCCUGAAGGUUCCCUGUCAUGGACUAGUGAUUAUGUAGUGGGUCAAUAUUACAGUGGGACCCACGUCUACCAGGAGACUAUUUGACCACACCCAGGAGGUUUGUGGGAUUCACUGGUCACCAAAUCAUCAGCAACUGGUGUCAGGAGGAAAUGAUAAUAUAGGUCUUGUUGGAUACUUUGUCAUUGGGUUUGAGGUUCCCUCUUAUCCUGUGUACUUCAGUACUAGUCCACAAGAUACACCCACUCACUGGCAUCAGAGGAUAUUCUUCAUCAAUGAGCCCAUGCAAGUUCAAACAGGUGAUUUAUGCUACAAAAACAAGGAUUGUUCAAGAUCACUUAAUAUCAAGAUAGAGAUGAUGCUAUUUCCACUCUCAAAAGAAUCCCAAGUAUUAAUAAUACCAGAGCACAGUAAACACACUAUCAUCAUGUGUUCCUUCAAUCAAAUUGUUCUUUUUCAAA